CCAUACCGGGCAACGUCACGGUCCUUGUUUUUUCUUCACUCAUAAGGUUUUUUGAACCGCUCUUAGCCUGACCCGUCGCCUAGGACCUGUUUGCCUUGGGAGACCCUACCAGGGGCAUAUAGCCCCGGACAACAUAGCUCAUAGGGUCGUUCGGGUACUCAAACCCCUCCACCACGUUAAGGUGGCAGUGCAAGGAGGGGUUGAUUAGAAUCACUUUUUUCUAUUUCAGUUUAUUCUAAUGGGGAUUUGUUAUACCCUAUAUAUACCGUACACAUAUUUGACUAUAUGAGUGGUUUUCUGUUUUGUUUCAAUAAAUAUAAUACCAAUAUAACGGUUUGAAUAGUAACUACUUAUUAUGGGAGAUGUUCAUUUGGACCAACAUGUGACAAUAUUUCAGGUGGGGAUCAUCAACAUUUGCUUCUUAGAUAUCCUAAAGACUGUAAAAAUACAAAAGUUAGAAAACAUAUAUCAAUAGGGUCCUUAGGGGAGGAGUUCCAGUGAUCCAAUGUCACCAUUUUAUUCCAUUUGUUGGUGUUUAUUUGAGUGUUUAUGCACUAUACAUAAUCUAAUCAUGACUUUAUGAUGAAUUUAGGGUCUCAGGUAUUUCUCCUUUAAGAGAGCGUGUCUUGUUCCGCUCGUAGAGUGGGAGCAUUCGUGGAAUUUCCAGAGAGUUGGGGGCAUCAAAUCCAGGUUUCACCACCUGUAUCAUAGUCCCACCGGUCCAGUUCACCACAUUUGAGCCAUGAAUGUUUGUUGUUAUUUUGUUCAGAUUGUCCCACUUGAGAUGAAACACAUUCCCUCACCAGUAAUAAUAAUAAUUAAAGUAUAAUUAAUUAAUUAUUAAGUAUAAUAAAAAAAAUUCAACUUAACAGAAACCUGGAGAGACCAAUAUCUGCCAGUUAAUGUGGGCUUCCAUAAUGCUACAUGCUCUUCACCAAGAAAGAUCUUUCUAAUUGUGUGUUGGUGCAUCAUGUAGGCUAUGUAUGUGUGUAGUUAGUUUAAAAAUGUAUGUUAAAUAAACCUCACACUACCAGUGAA